CCUUCUUGGCCGGUAACGGGGACUACGUGAAAGGUGUUGUUGGGUUAGCCAAGGGGCUGCGGAAGGUGAAAUCCGCUUACCCGCUUGUGGUGGCGGUGUUACCGGACGUGCCGGUGGAGCACCGCCGAGAACUGGAAUCCCAGGGGUGCAUCGUCAGAGAGAUUGAGCCGGUUUACCCACCCGAGAACCAGACCCAGUUCGCCAUGGCCUAUUACGUUAUCAAUUAUUCAAAGCUCCGUAUCUGGGAGGUACGUGAUAGUACUUUCUCAUUACCUCUAUCACUAUUUUUGUCAUUUUGCAUGAAUCUUUGCAUGAUUUGUAGAUUUACAUGCCAUUUUUGUAUGAAUCAGUUCGUGGAGUACAGUAAGAUGAUAUACUUGGAUGGGGAUAUUCAAGUCUACGAUAACAUUGACCACCUCUUUGAGCUACCAGACGGACAUUUCUAUGCAGUGAUGGACUGUUUCUGUGAGAAAACAUGGAGUCACACGCCACAGUACAAGAUUGGAUACUGCCAACAGUGUCCGGAAAAGGUUCAGUGGCCAGCGGAGCUGGGUCAGCCGCCUUCACUUUACUUCAACGCAGGCAUGUUCGUGUUUGAGCCCAGCCUCUCCACCUAUGAAGAUCUCUUGGAAACCCUCAGGAUCACCCCUGCAACCCCUUUUGCAGAGCAGGUAAACACAUAAGCUUUUGCUGAUGAUAUUCUUCCAACAUAAUCCGGUUGUGGUUCUGGGAUUUUGUUAUUUAGGAAAAUGUGUAUGUGUUUUUGGCAGGAUUUCUUGAAUAUGUACUUCAGCGAUGUAUAUAAGCCUAUUCCUCUGGUCUACAAUCUUGUCCUUGCCAUGCUGUGGCGGCAUCCUGAGAAUGUAGAGCUUGAUAAAGUGAAAGUUGUUCACUACUGUGCAGCGGUGAGUACCAAAGAAGAUUGAUUUUGGGAGAUUAAUUCGCAAGUUAUAACCUGUGGUGGUUAUGUAUACUAAUACAAAUAUUUGUGAACGGUAUACCAGGGGUCGAAGCCAUGGAGGUACACAGGGAAGGAGGACAACAUGCAGAGAGAGGACAUUAAGAUGCUGGUAAACAAAUGGUGGGAGAUAUACAAUGACAAGUCAUUGGAUUACAAGAAGACGAGGAUGAUGGCGAAUGAUUACAGCAGUGUUUUGCCGGGGGAGCAGGUGAAUUUGGAGCCGUUCAUUGCAGCUCUUUCCGAGGUGGGGCAUGUUGAAUUUGUGAGAGCCCCUUCAGCAGCCUAGAAGAGGCCAGUACUCUCGUGGAGAAGAGGAUCCAAGGGGCAUGCAAGCAGAUGACCGGUGAAUUUCCAUUUUCGAGAUGAAAAUGUUGGUUAUUUUUGUGGUUUGGGGGUUUGUCACGGUUAGUGAAUUUUUACGUUGUUCACUUGUAAUAUCCUUAAUGAUUGCCCACUACAAGGCAAAUUACUUCCAGUCAUACAUAAAAUCUCAAAGACACUCUGUUUUAUCUGCUGUUGAACUCUGUUUUUUUUUUUUUUUUUGCUCUUUUUCUCCCUCCUUUUUCUUUUUAUUUAUUUAUUUUCUUUGGGAAAUGGAAUUGAAAUACGUGGGACAAGAAUCGUAUAGGCUUAUUUGAGACAACAAAACAUCCACCCAGUCCCAGUCGCGGACCUGUUAUGGUGAAGGCAAGUUGAUUAAGGACGGUACAGCAGGGCACUUAAUUAUGGCUAGGUUAUAUCCCAACUUGUGGGUAGAAAAAAAAGGGUAAUAUUAAAAUGAGAACCAAUUUAAAAAGCAUUUUUGAAUUUAAUUUAAUUUUAAUUUAUUUGUUAUUUAUAAUUUUGAAGUUAAUUUUAACUUAUUUAUUAAGAGGAAAAAUUAUACUUAUAAGAAGGAUUAAAUGUACAUAAAAAAAAAUAUUCGUAUGUGAAAAGAAAAGAAAUAUUGAAAAAUAGUAAGAAAACUUUAUUUUAGGCAUAACUAAUGAUUGGUUGAAAGUUUUCAUUAUCAUUCUCAUUUGACAUUUCUUUUUACCAUAUAAGUGAUUUGAUUUGAAUGGAAAGUUGGAUACUAGAUCUUUAAGGAUAAGGAAGGAGAUUAAUUUAAUCAGAUUUCUUUUUAUCUCUUUUACUUUUUUAAAUUAAAAGAAAAUAAAAAAAAUAGAGAGAAAAAAAUAAAAGAAAUAAAAAAUAGAUUUAAAAUUAAUAAAUUAUUUUUAUAUAUAUUUUAAAACUCAUUUCACUUAUUUCCUAUAUAAUUUUAAAAUAUAUAAAUUAUUAAUUAAUUUUAAUUAUAUUUAUUUUUUUUAUAAUGAAACUAAAAAUUAAAAAAAAUAUUAUAUAUAAGGGUGGAGGUUAAUUUAAUUACAUCUUUUCUUAAUUUAUUUUAAAUUUUUAUCUGCUUAGUUUUAAUAUUGAGGGAAAAUACUAAAAAAAGAAAAGAAAAAAUAAAAAAAUAAAAAAGAAAAUUAGAAAAUAAUUUUAAAAUUAAUAAAUUAUUUUUAUGUGUUUUUUCAAAGUUAUUUCACAUGUUUCUCUAUGUAAUAUAAGGAUUAAAUAAAUUUUAAAUAUUUUAAAUUUAAUUAUAAUUGAUUUUUUUAUAUAACAAAAUUAAAUAUAAAAAAUCAUUUUUCUUAAUAUUUUAUUUUAUUUUUAUUGUUUUUUGUUUAGUAUGCAGAAGCUCUCAUUCCACUUGUGUCGGCAAAAACAUCAUUGUAAAUAUAUUAAAAGAAAAACAUAAAAAAUAAAGCAAAUCACGUAAAAGGUACACAAAGUUUUAAUAUGAUUUGAUCAAUUAUGACUAUUUUCACCAAUGAGAAAGAACAUUUUAUCAUAUGAUAGAAAAUAUUAUAAAGAACAAAAAUCUAAAAAAAUACAAUUACGAGAUCUCUAUCUUAAAAUAUGAGCCGUUUUACUUCAUUAAAUGUUUUUUUUUUUCAUCACAUUUACUUCCCAGUAAACCCCCUUUCUCUACUAGAUGUAUGUCGUUCUUUCUCAUAUUUUUAUUCCAUCUCUCUCAUAACUUUUUUUUAAAAUAAAAUAUUUAUAAAGAUAUUUCUAUUAACUUCGUAAGAAUCUAAUUAUUAUCACAUAUAAAUUAAAAAAUAUUAUAUAUAAUAUUUCUUUUACAAAUAUAUUCCCCAUCACUUUCCCGCCAAACAUAGGAUAAAUGAUGCUCUUUAUGUCCUAAUCUUUCCAAACUUUCAAGUAUUCUUUUACUUAGAAAUUACAAAUUUGAUACAAAUUGGGCCACCAUUUGAGAGUCCAAUCCCUCCAGCCAGAUUUAUAGGUGAGUUUAACUUGAAUUGAAGAAGUAGGAAUGUAAAAAUACUGGGAUUGACAUGAAUUCAAGAUCAGAAAACCCCCGAAAGCCAAAUCCAGCACAUUAUUGAUUUAUUUUUAUUUUAUUAUAAUAUAAAAAACAUAAAUUAUAAAAAAACAUAAAUUAUAAAAAAACACUAACUUUCUUAAUUUUUAAUUACAUUUUAAUUAUUAAAAUAUCUUUAAUAGUUAUAGUUAAAGUUUGAGCUUAUGAAUAAUUAUUUAUGUUAAAAUAAUAAUUAAUAAUUUACAGUUUUGACACCUUUUUGUUUUUUGACUUGAAGAAAAAAAAUAGUAGUAACUUAUAUAAAAAAUGAAAAAUUUUAUUAAAAAAAAUUAAACUUAUUUCAUGUCUUUAAAAAAUUACUUUUAGAAAUGUAAGUUAAAUAGAUUUUAAAAACUAUAAUUUUUCUUUAAUAUAAGUUGUUAUUUUUUAUAGGUUGAAUAUAACAUGAAAUAGGACAAGAUAAUAUAUCAUAUCUCAUUUUUUAUUGGUAAUAUUAGGGGUGCAACUUGUACGGGUUGGUUUGACCCAAUUGGAACCCAAUCCAAUGUUUGGGUGAACUUAGGCAAAUAUUUCCAUUACUUGAGUUAAACUUGAAUUAAGUUUUUUCAACUCGAAUUCAAUUUGAAUUGGAUCCAAGCUAAGGUUUAAAAAACUCGAGGAUAACUCGAACUUGAUUUAAUAUUUUUAUGAUAUUUAUAAUGUUAAUGUUUAUUAUUUUAAAUGAUAAUAUUCAUUUUCUUUUUAAUUUUGGAAGAAAAAAAUAUCAAAUUAUAAUUAUAUCACACAGUUAUUACUUUUUAAAAAAGAUAUAUAAGUUUAUUUUUACUUUUUUUUAUUAUCUUGAAAUUUUGUGCUAUUUAUUAUUUAAAUUUUGAUAUAAAUAUAUAGAAAAUAAGUUUUUUUAAAAACUAUUAUAGAUGAAUUUUAAAUCUUUCAGCACAAUGAAUCCAAAUAAUUUGAGUCUAACUCAAUCAACUCGAGUUUAACCCAAUCAACUCGAUCAACUUGAGAUCAACUUGAAUUUAGAAAAUAAGGUUAGGCUAGGCUUGGGUUAAGUACUUUGGGUUAGAGGACGAGUUAUGUUAACCUUAACUUGAUUCUUUCUUAAUUUGUGUUGGAUUUGAGUUAGCUAUUAACUCAACCAACUCGCCCAAGUUGCCAUCCAAGUUGCAGCCCCAAGUAAUAUUUUAGGAUAAGUUAUCUUAUCAUAUUUCAUAUAUUAUAUCUUAUAUUUAACAAAAUAGGAUAUUUAACAAAAUAUGCGUUUGGUAUAAAAUAGGUAGUAAGAUACUUUGGUAUAAAAUAGGUAGUAAGAUACUAAGAUAAAAUGUCUUUUUUCUCUUUUUAUUUUUUUUCUUUUAUACAUAUUAAUUUUAAAUAAUACUCUUUAUUUAUUUAUUAUAAUAUCUAAUGGACACUACAAAACGUUGUAUAGAUCACCUAGUAAAAUGAAAAUAUUAAAUCAAAUUAAAAGUGUGUUCAACUAUUAUUUUAGAAAGUAUUUCUAAUUUUUCUAAGAUUUCAGUAUUAAAUAUAUUAGAAGCAUUUCUUAAAAUCAUUGUGAAAUAAACUCUAAUUUAUAUAUUUAAAAAUCACUUUUAUAAAUUUUAAAAUUUAAGUUACUAAAAUUCUUUUGAUGUCUUAAUUUUUUAAAUAAUUUUUAAAACUUUUAUUUAUUUUUAAAUAAAAGGAAAUCUAUUAGUUUUUGGAUCUUCCCAUAUUGUUUACCAUUAACAGCCAUGAGGCGUUACCUCUUUUUUUUUUUUUUUUUAAUCGUGAAGUUCGAUUGACGUGUAAUUCUGCUUAAAAUAAAUUAAGUGUAUGUUUAACAAAAAAUUUUAAAAGUAUUUUUAAUUUAAAAGGUAUUUAAAAAAAAACAUAAGAUGAAAUUACUUAUAAUGUUAUUUGGUGAAACAUUUUAUAGAUAUAUUCUUUUAAAAAAUAUUAAGAAAAUACUUUCAUUUUAAAACAUGGAGAACAUUCUUAAAUGUGCUUUAUUUAAUUUCUAUUUUUUAAAAAAUUAAAAUUUAUUUUUUAAAUAAAAAUAGGAGAAUCCGACAUUUUUAUUAGCUAUAGAAUACUCUUUUUGUAAUAGAAAUGAUAAUAAGAUGAGUUUUUCUUUUGUUUUUCUUUUAUUUUUUAUUUUAUCUAUCCUGCCCUAAUGGAACAUGUUUAAAAUUUAAAUAAAUAAGUUGGAAAUAAGUUUGAGAUUUUUUAAAAAAUAUAUAACAGAUUUGGGUGUUAAGUCCUUAUACUCAUAUUAUGUACAAAAUUAAUUUACUUUAAUUUUAAAUUUUUUAUUUUUAAUAUGUAACAAUAAUAAAAAAUAUUUUUUAAUAUAAUAAAUUAUAAAAAAUUAUAGUAUUUUAAUUAUUUAUAAAAUAUAUUUAUUUUAAUAUAAUAAAAAAAAAGUUAGAUUGAAUGGGCGAGGCAAGAUAAGUAUAAGAAAUUUGCGUACCAUUAAGACUCUCUUCCACAUGCCACGUCUCCAGAACCUUCCCGGUGACACUGCACAACCGUUGGAUCAUACCUGAGGCACGUGUCAGCAGGCAACCCAAGAUCACAUGACCUAUGAAGUUACCAAAUUAUGCUCACCCUCUUCAAUUUUAAAUAUCAUUUAUCGCUUAUUUAAGCCACAAACGCGCCAUCGGCAUCCUCAAUUAAGAAGGAAAGACAACCCAGAGUCAGAUUCUCCAGCCUCAGCUCUCUCUAGAACCGUCGUCUCUCUUCCUUCCCAUCCACUCUAGCACAUUCUCGCUCACAUGGCUCCUGAAAUCAUCUCCGCUUCGGGAAAACCGUCCGGAUUUUUGAAACCGGCUAGUCUUCCGGACAGAGCAUACGUGGCCUUCUUGGCCGGUAACGGGGACUACGUGAAAGGUGUUGUUGGGUUAGCCAAGGGGCUGCGGAAGGUGAAAUCCGAUUACCCGCUUGUGGUGGCGGUGUUACCGGACGUGCCGGUGGAGCACAGCCGAGAACUGGAAUCCCAGGGGUGCAUCGUCAGAGAGAUUGUGCCGGUUUACAAGAACCAGACCCAGUUCGCCAUGGCCUAUUACGUUAUCAAUUAUUCAAAGAUCCGUAUCUGGGAGGUACGUGAUAGUACUUUCUCAUUACCUCUAUCACUAUUUUUGUCAUUUUGCAUGAAUCUUUGCAUGAUUUGUAGAUUUACAUGCCAUUUUUGUAUGAAUCAGUUCGUGGAGUACAGUAAGAUGAUAUACUUGGAUGGGGAUAUUCAAGUCUACGAUAACAUUGACCACCUCUUUGAGCUACCAGACGGACAUUUCUAUGCAGUGAUGGACUGUUUCUGUGAGAAAACAUGGAGUCACACGCCACAGUACAAGAUUGGAGACUGCCAACAGUGUCCGGAAAAGGUUCAGUGGCCGGCGGAGCUGGGUCAGCCGCCUUCACUUUACUUCAACGCAGGCAUGUUUGUGUUUGAGCCCAGCCUCUCCACCUAUGAAGAUCUCUGGGAAACCCUCAGGAUCACCCCUGCAACCCCUUUUGCAGAGCAGGUAAACACAUAAGCUUUUGCUGAUGAUAUUCUUCCAACAUAAUCCGGUUGUGGUUCUGGGAUUUUGUUAUUUAGGAAAAUGUGUAUGUGUUUUUGGCAGGAUUUCUUGAAUAUGUACUUCAGGGAUGUAUAUAAGCCUAUUCCUCUGGUCUACAAUCUUGUCCUUGCCAUGCUGUGGCGGCAUCCUGAGAAUGUAGAGCUUGAUAAAGUGAAAGUUGUUCACUACUGUGCAGCGGUGAGUACCACAGAAGAUUGAUUUUGGGAGAUUAAUUCGUAAGUUAUAACCUGUGGUGGUUAUGUAUACUAAUACAAAUAUUAGUGAAUGGUAUACCAGGGGUCGAAGCCAUGGAGGUACACAGGGAAGGAGGACAACAUGCAGAGAGAGGACAUUAAGAUGCUGGUAAACAAAUGGUGGGAGAUAUACAAUGACAAGUCAUUGGAUUACAAGAAGACGAGGAUGAUGGCGAAUGAUUACAGCAGCGUUUUGCCGGGGGAGCAGGUGAAUUUGGAGCCUUUCAUUGCAGCUCUUUCCGAGGUGGGGCAUGUUGAAUUUGUGAGAGCCCCUUCAGCAGCCUAGAAGAGGCCAGUACUCUCGUGGAGAAGAGGAUCCAAGGGGCAUGCAAUCAGAUGACCGGUGAAUUCCCAUUUUCGAGAUGAAAAUGUUGGUUAUUUUUGUGGUUUGGGGGUUUGUCACGGUUAGUGAAUUUUUACGUUGUUCACUUGUAAUAUCCUUAAUGAUUGCCCACUACAAGGCAAAUUACUUCCAGUCAUACAUAAAAUCUCAAAGACACUCUGUUUUAUCUGCGGUUUAAGCCUGUUUUAUUUGUUCUUUUUUUCCCUCCUUUUUCUUUUUAUUUAUUUAUUUCUUUGGGAAAUGGAAUUGAAAUACGUGGGACAAGAAUCGUAUAGGCUUAUUUGAGACAACAAAAGCGGACCUGUUACGGUGAAGGCAAGUUGAUUAAGUACGGUACAGCAGGGCACUUAAUUAUGGCUAGGUUAUAUCCCAACUUGAGGGGUAGAAAAAAAAGGGUAAUAUUAAAAUGAGAACCAAUUUAAAAAGCAUUUUUUAAUUUAAUUUAAUUUUAAUUUAUAUGUUAUUUAUAAUUUUGAAGUUAAUUUUAACUUAUUUAUUAAGAGGAAAUUUUAUUUUUUAAAAACUAUACUUAUAAGAAGGAUUAAAUGUACAUAAAAAAAAUAUUCGUAUGUGAAAAGAAAAGAAAUAUUGAAAAAUAGUAAGAAAACUUUAUUUUAGGCAUAAUUACUGAUUGGUUGAAAGUUUUCAUUAUCAUUCCCUUUGACAUUUCUUUUUAACAUAUAAGUGAUUUAAUUUGAAUGGAAAGUUGGAUACUAGAUCUUUAAGGAUAAGGAAGGAGAUUAAUUUAAUCAGAUUUCUUUUUAUCUCUUUUACUUUUUUAAAUUAAAAGAAAAUAAAAAAAAUAGAGAGAAAAAAAUAAAUAAAAAUAAAAAAUAGAUUUAAAAUUAAUAAAUUAUUUUUAUAUAUAUUUUAAAACUCAUUUCACUUAUUUCCUAUAUAAUUUUAAAAUAUAUAAAUUAUUAAUUAAUUUUAAAUAUAUUUAAUUUUUUUAUAAUGAAACUAAAAAUUUAAAAAAUAUUAUAUAUAAGGGUGGAGGUUAAUUUAAUUACAUCUUUUCUUAAUUUAUUUUAAAUUUUUAUCUGCUUAGUUUUAAUAUUGGGGGAAAAUACUAAGAAAAGAAAAUAAAAAAUAAAAAAAUAAAAAAGAAAAUUAGAAAAUAGUUUUAAAAUUAAUAAAUUAUUUUUAUGUGUUUUUUCAAAGUUAUUUCACAUGUUUCUCUAUGUAAUAUAAGGAUUAAAUAAAUUUUAAAUUUUUUAAAUUUAAUUAUAAUUGAUUUUUUGUAUAUAACAAAAUUAAAUAUAAAAAAAAUCAUUUUUCUUAAUAUUUUUUUUUCUUUUUUUAUUGUUUUUUGUUGAGUAUGCAGAAGCUCUCAUUUCACUUAUGUCGGCAAAAACAUCAUUGUAAAUAAAUUAAAAAAAAAACAUAAAAAAUAAAGCAAAUCACAUAAAAGGUACAUAAAGUUUUAAUAUGAUUUGAUCAAUUAUGACUAUUUUCAUCAAUGAGAAAGAACAUUUUAUCAUAUGAUAGAAAAUAUUACAAAAAACAAAAAUCUAAAAAAAUACAAUUACGAUAUCUCUAUCUUAAACCAUGAACCGUUUUACUUCAUUAAAUGUUUUUUUUCAUCACAUUUACUUCCUAAUAAACCCUCUUUCUCUACAUGAUGUCUGUCAUUUUUUCUCAUAUUUUUAUUCCAUCUCUCUCAUAACUUUUUUUUAAUAUAAAAUAUUUAUAAAGAUAUUUCUAUUAACUUCAUAAAAAUCUAAUUAUUAUCACAUAUAAAUUAAAAAAUAUUAUAUAUAAUAUUUCUUUUACAAAUAUAUUCCCCAUCACUUUCCCGCCAAACAUAGGAUAAACGAUGCUCUUUAUGUCCUAAUCUUUCCAAACUUUCAAGUAUUCUUUUACUUAGAAAUUACAAAUUUGAUACAAAUGGGGCCACCAUUUGAGGGUCCAAUCCCUCCAGCCAGAUUUAUAGGUGAGUUUAACUUGAAUUGAAAAAGUAGGAAUGUAAAAAUACUGGGAUUGACAUGAAUUCAAGAUCAGAAAACCCCCGAAAGCCAAAUCCAGCACAUUAUUGAUUUAUUUUUAUUUUAUUAUAAUAUAAAAAACAUAAAUUAUAAAAAAACACUAACUUUCUUAAUUUUUAAUUACAUUUUAAUUAUUAAAAUAUCUUUAAUAGUUAUAGUUAAAGUUUGAGCUUAUGAAUAAUUAUUAAUGUUAAAGUAAUAAUUAAUAAUUUACAGUUUUGACACCUUUUUGUUUUUUGACUUGAAGAAAAAAAAUAGUAGUAACUUAUAUAAAAAAUGAAAAAUUUUAUUAAAAAAAAUUAAACUUAUUUCAUGUCUUUAAAAAUUACUUUAAAAAAUGUAAGUUAAAUAGAUUUCAAAAAAUAUAAUUUUUCUUUAAUAUAAGUUGUUAUUUUUUAUAUGUUGAAUAUAACAUGAAAUAGGACAAGGUAAUAUAUCAUAUCUAAUUUUUUUAUUGGUAAUAUUAGGGGUGAAACUUGUACGGAUUGGUUUGACCCAAUUGGAACCCAACCCAAUGUUUGGGUGAACUUAGGCAAAUAUUUCCAUUACUUGAGUUAAACUUGAAUUAAGUUUUUUCAACUCGAAUUCAAUUUGAAUUGGAUCCAAGCUAAGGUUUAAAAAACUCAAGGAUAACUCGAACUUGAUUUAAUAUUUUUAUGAUAUUUAUAAUGUUAAUGUUUAUUAUUUUAAAUGAUAAUAUUCAUUUUCUUUUUAAUUUUGGAAGAAAAAAAUAUCAAAUUAUAAUUAUAUCACAUAGUUAUUACUUUUUAAAAAAGAUAUAUAAGUUUAUUUUUACUUUUUUUUUAUUAUCUUGAAAUUUUGUGCUAUUUAUUAUUUAAAUUUUGAUAUAAAUAUAUAGAAAACAAGUUUUUAAAAAAAAACCAUUAUAGAUGAAUUUUAAAUCUUUCAACACAAUGAAUCCAAAUAAUUCGAGUCUAACUCAAUCAACUCGAGUUUAACCAGUCAACUCAAUCAACAUGAGAUCAACCUGAAUUUAGAAAAAUAAGGUUAGGUUAAGCUUGGGUUAAGUACUUUGGAUUAGAGGACGAGUUAUGUUGAGCUAUUAACUCAACCAACUCGCCUAAGUUGUCGUCCAAGUUGCAACCCCAAGUAAUAUUUUAGGAUAAGUUAUUUUACCAUAUUUCAUAUAUUAUAUCCUAUAUUUAACAAAAUAGGAUAUUUAACAAAAUAUGCGUUUGGUAUAAAAUAGGUAGUAAGAUACUAAGAUAUAAUGUCUUUUUUCUCUUUUUAUUUUUUUUCUUUUAUAUAUAUUAAUUUUAAAUAAUACUCUUUAUUUAUUUAUUAUAAUAUAAUCUUACUCUAAUGGACACUACAAUACGUUGUAUAGAUCACCUAGUAAAAUGAAGACAUAAAAUCAAAUUAAAAGUGUGUUCAACAAUUAUUUUAGAAAGUAUUUCUAAUUUUUUUAAGAUUUUAGUAUUAAAUAUAUUAGAAACAUUUUUUAAAAUCAUUGUGAAACACAUUCUAAUUUAUAUAUUUAAAAAUCAAUUUUAUAAAUUUUAAAAUUUAAGUUAUUAAAAUUCUUUUGAUGUCUUAAUUUUUUAAAUAAUUUUUAAAACUUUUAUUUAUUUUUAAAUAAAAGGAAAUCUAUUAGUUUUUGGAUCUUCCCAUAUUGUUUACCAUUAACAGCCAUGAGGCGUUACCUCUUUUUUUUUUUUUUUUUUUCCUUAAAACCCAAGAAACAUUAAUGGUAGAGAGACUGGGAAUGAGAUAUAUUUCCAGAAUCAUCAGUAAUCUCCCCUGAAAAUUCUUGCUUAAUUUACUUAUUUAAAGCCUUCUGUGGCCCUAAUCUCUGGCAAUUCGCCGAAGAAAGAAGAAAUUAAGGAAAUGGCUUCCUUGAGUGGGGUACUGUUACUUGUUCAUAUCUCCCUCAUGGCCACCACUCUCUUCUACUAUCCUUCACAUGCGAUCGGACAAGACGUCGUCGAGCAGGUAUGCCAGCAAACGGAGGACUAUCAAUUCUGUUUCAAUACCAUCCUCAGAGAUCCUCGGACUCCGGCAGUUAACAUGGAGGGGCUGUGCCUCCUCAGUGUGGCAAUAACCAUAGACCACGUUAGGGAAGCGGUGGAUAAAAUACCGGGGCUGCUGGAGAAAGCUACUGAUCCAGUGGACAAGCAAAGAAUGACGACUUGCCAAUCCAACUAUGGAGCAGCGGCGGGGGACUUCCAGAGGGCGUGGGGCUCGGCUUCUUCAAAGGCUUUCCAUGAUGUGCUGGGCUGGGUUCAGAAGGGAAGUGGUCAGGUUAUAAACUGUGAAAAUAUAUACCGGCAAAGUCCGCCGAUCCGUGAAUCUCCCCUCACAGUUGACAACCACAACGUGAUUAAAUUAGCAGGAAUUACUUUGGUUGUUCUUGGUAUGCUUGGUGUUCGUUGAAGAUGGUGUGUCUUCCUUGAGGUAAAGCUCACGUUCUUGGAAUUAACGUACAAUAAAUGUGGAAUGCAAUACUGUUGGUUGGUCAAUAAAAACUGAUGUGAAUUUACUACUCAUUUUUGGAGAGUUUGAGGGCUCACAAACAUUGCAGUGGCUUGAAUUUGUUUCUAGAUAUGUACUUGGAAAAAGGUUAACAAUAUGAAAUCAAGGAUGAAGAGGCCGACCGCCGACAUUCUGCAAAGUCACGCCUUGAAAAAUAUUCUUUUUUUAAAAAGUAUUACCAUAAAGAGUUGUACCGUACAAAUAAUUUUAUUUACAUAUUUUUUUUAAUCGUUUUAUUUAUUUUUAUGGGACUCCCAAAAUUUAUGUAUACAAUGUUUUUAAAAUUUUAUUAAAAAAUAAAAAUGAAAUAAAAUUAUAUAAACCACCUUGUGACUAUUAAUUUAUAUGAAUAAAACAUUAUCUCAUAUUUAUUUGAAAUCAAAUUUUAUUUUAAAAGUAUAAUAUAAUUAUUAUAAGUUAAUAUAUUUUUAUAUUAACAUAAUUAUUUGAUUAAUUGUAAAUAUAUUAGAAAAUUUUAUUGAAUUUUCUUAAUCAAACCCGUCUUAAAAAAUAUAAAAAAUAAUUUUUGGUUAUAUUUUGGGAACCAUACCAACAAACAAUUGAUAGCUACUUUUAACAUGUCAUAUAGAAUUAGAGUAGCGUCUCUUCUAUGUGAUACCAAGGGGAGGAGAAUGCUAAUUAACCAGCCCAUGACUUUGUUGCCCAAAAAAAAUCCAUACUCGAUACAGCAAGAAACUCACGCCGCAAGAAAUUGAUAUUUAAGAACAAAAUUUUGGUCACAAAGUAAAAUUUCAUCACUAAAAGUAAUUGUUUCUGACAACAUUCUAACUAUGAAAUCUGACAUUGGUUGCCAAUUUUUCUCAUAAAUUAUUUGAUAAGAACAUUUCCAUCAAUCUAUCAUUAGGGGUGUUUGGCAAUUCAAUUUAAUUUAAGUUAUCAAGUAAAUUAAGUAUGUUUAGGAAAAUAACUUAAUGAUGUAGCUUAAAAUAAAAAAUAACUUUAAGUAAUAAGUAAAAAUAAUUAAUUUAUUUUUAAGUUAAUAUCUUCAUUUUACAUUUUUACUCUCAUGUGUCCUAAUUACUUUUUGUAGACCCCUUUUAUGAGGGGCCCGGGGGGGAGAGUUUUUUUCUCUCUUCUGGGCAUUUCUCUUUUAAACAAAGGGGGGACCACCAGAUGGGAGGAGAGAAAGAGACAUGGCAGAGGCCAUGCUGGAGUUGGAGGAGCCCAUACCUGCAGAGAUGAACAGGGAAGCAGGUAAUGGCUUGCCCGAGAAGGUAGGAAUCGGCUGGAGGGAGUGAAGCUUGAAGAAGAAAAAGAGAAAAAGGAAAGGGGGGAAGAUCGGAAAAGAGGGAACGCGGGCAGCAGCGUUUUUUCUUUUUGGGGGAGGCGACGACUAAAAAGAAAAGGAGGAACAGAGAGAGAUGGUGAUCUAGGGGAAAGGAGGCUACAGAGGGGGAAGAAGAAGUAGAGAAUCUGGAUACAGAAGUCUCUUUGGAAGGGAAGUUUUUUUUCAGGUGCGCGUACUAGACUACAUAUUUAUUGUGGUUGAUUUCACUAGUAUUAUGGUGAUUGUGAUAUGAAUGAACGAUGCUUUUUUUUCUUCAUAUGCUACUUGAUUGAGAGUGAUUUAAUUCCUCAUAGCUUUCCUAUUUGCAUCUGAGUCACAUUCUUGGAUCUCGUUUUCAUCUCAUUCUUCCCACCCGUUCAUUGGAUGCUUUGUUUUAUUUUUCCUUUUUAUGCUUGCUCCCUUCUCGUUUAUACUCUGUUCUCGAUAGUCAUUUGUAUCCUCAAGGGGAAAGGGUUUUUGGAGACGGGCAGCAGUUGGGAGAUUUGAGGGGGAAGAAAUCUGGAAAAAGAGAAAAAGGAAAGAGGGGAAGAUUAUUUUGAGGGCGUUUUGAGGCUGGCGUUUAAGGAUUUGAGGUUUUGGAAAAGAAGGGAUUUUUUCAGAGGAAGAGAGUAGAGGUCCGGAUUUUUAGAAAGAAAAAAACCAAAGCUGAAAGGGGAGAGGGUGAUAUCUGGAGAGGAGAAAAACAAAGAAAAGGGAGAUAGAGACAGUCUGAGGGAGACGGAAAAAAAGCUGUGCUUGGGAGGAGCCUUUCAGGUAAGAUUUUUUUUGUAAACUUCACAUCUCUUUUUCUCUCUUAGGUACAGUCUUCGAUCUUCAUGCUCACUGUGGGGAUGAGGAAUUCGUUGUUUUUUUGUAGAGAGAGAAAAGAAUUGGGCGGCUGGGGGAUUAUAAGACAGUGGGAUGCUUUUUAAAAGUUUUUAAUUCAAAUUGUUUUUUUCUAGCAAGGCAUUUGGGUUCGUGCCUAUUUUUUUACUUUGAGUAAAGCUCUCAAAGCCAUUUAUAUAUAUUUUUUUAUUAUUCCUUUCUUGCGUGGAAAUCAUAACAUGGCAGAAGACUUUUUGGUGGGCUUGAAUAUUUAUGUCCAUUUUUCUUUCUUUUGCUUUUUGGCGAACACGUUUUCACAAAUUGAAUUCUCAAAACAACUUUCAAAAUUUCAGUUUUUUUUAAUCACUUCAAUCUUCAAAUUAAUUUUUCAAAAAUUCUAAUACCCAAAUUUAAUUUCUAAAAUGUCAUCUUAAAAUAAAUCUUUCAAACAAAUUCUGAUUUCCAAAUUCAAUUCCCAAUUUCUGAAAUUCUAAUUUUUCGACUUUCAAAUUUAAUUUUCAAUUUCCAAAAUUUUAAUAUUCACUUUCAUUUAUUUAAUCAUUACUAUUUUUUGUUAUGAUUAUUAUUAUUCUAUUUACUUAUUUAUCUUAAAAUUCCAUUCUUAAACAUUUUUUCUCAAAAUUUCAAUUUUUGAACUUAAUUUUUAAUUCCCAAAAUUCCAAUUUUCAAAUUUAAUUCCCAAAGCUCCAAUUUUCAAAUAAAUUCCAAAAAUCCAAUUUUCACGUGAACAAUUUUAAUUCUAUUCCGGUUCUCAAUUUUUCUUGGUUUUACAUAAGCAUGAAUGUCAUUUUCAUAAUUUCAGAACAAUGGAAUUUGUGAGAUUAAUUCGUGCAAGAUCAAUCGGGCUUUGGUGGGGGCCCCACAUACGUGAUUUUAUGAUUGAUUGAUUUGUUUGUCACGCGCAAUUUAUUUAUCCUGCUCUCCGACCUGCAUGCUAUUAUUUCUUAAUUAUGCACUAACCUCUCUCUUGAUAGCGCAUGGUGGCUCGUCGCCCAGGUACGCACUUACUUUCACUCUGGUAAUUGUCUAAGCAUAUUUUGAUUCUCACGUGUGCAUGAUUUAUUCUGGGUACUCAUUGAUCUACUCGUCCACUGCCCUGAUUGCUUCAUUUUAUUAGUAGAGACCCGUUUUUAGGGACUUAAAAGGGUGCUACGGUUUUUACCGUACCUUCCUGAUAAGUAACCUGACCUCCGAACCCGAUCCGGUUUUUCGCAGACCGCCUUUUCCAAAAUAAAGAGUCACACUUAGGGUUUUUCUUUCUUAUUUUGUUUACCCUUUAAAAAUAAAACAAAAAUAAGUGGCGACUCCAAGUCAUUUUCAAAUAAUCAAUAAAAAAAUCAUUUUUCAAAUAAAAAUCGAGCUCGCCAUCGAGUGGGAAACGCAUGAGCACGAAAUGCGGGGUCCACACUUUUAUAAGUUUUUUUGCUACUCCAUGAUAUCUAUUGUUACUUGAUCCCCUUUACCUUAAUUAAAAUUUAUGAGAAUAAAUUUGUCAAUAUAAUGAUUUAAAAUAAAUUUUAAACUAAUUUUAUCAAAUAAUAAAAAUUAAGUAAUAAGUUAUAAGUGAAUAAAUUAAGUAUAAUUUAAUUUAAAAUCAAUUCAAUUUAUUAAGUAAUAAACAUUAAGUUUUACCAAAUGCCCUUUUUUACUAAUGAUAUAUAAUUCCUUCUUAACUGUCAUCAAGUUUUAAUUCAAUAUAAAGUUUCUAAUAUUAUAUAAUUUAAUAUAAAUAAUUAAUAUAAAAUUAAAUUUUAUCAAAAAAAUUAAAUGAUGUAUAAUUUAAUAAAAAUAUAUAUUUUUUAAUUUUCAAAAUUGAAAUAAAGGAAAACCAACUUUUUAAUAAAAUAUCCAAUAUAAAAUUAUAAAAAGUCAAUUUUAUAAACAUGACUAUUAAACAGAUCUUACAAAUACAAAUCUGAACAGUUUUUGGAAAUCCCAGCCAUCUCAACCUUAAGAAUACAAACCUCAAUCGUGCCAUUAACAACUGGGCUUUUUUAACUUUUGCGGCAAUUUUAAAAAAUUAUAAUUAAAAAAUGGUAGUUUUGAAAAUAUUGAUAGAUUUACGGUAGUUUUGGCCACGUGGAAGGUGUCUUUUGAAGAGACACCUUCCACAAUUUUCAAAAUCAUGAAAGAAUUGAAUUUAAGCUAAAGGUGUCUCUUGAAGAGACACCUUCUACAAUUUCAGAAAAUUUGAUUUAUAUUAAAGGUGUCUAUUGAAAAAACACUUUCCACGUGACAAAAAAUCUAAUAUGUAUUAAAGGUGUCUCUUGCAGAGACACUUUCCACGUGGCAAAAAAUCCAAUAUUCAUUAAAGGUGUCUCUUGAAAAGACACUUUCCUCAAAAAUUUGAAUGUCUUAUAAAUUUGAUUUUAAAGCUAAAGAUGUCUCAUGAAGAGACACCUUCUACAAUUCCUAAAAAUUUUAAUUUAUACCAAAGGUGUCUCUUUAAGAGACACCUUCUAGAAUUCCAAAAAAUUAGAUUUAUAUUAAAUGUGUCUCUUGGAAAGACACUUUACACAAUUUCACAAAAUCCAAUAUGUAUUUUAUUUGUGGAAAUGAUUUUUAAAGCUAAAGAUGUCUCUCUUUAAUGUAUGAAAAUUGUGGAAAGUGUCUCUUCAAGAGACACUUUCAGUAUAAACCAAUUUUUUUAAAAUAAUAGAAGGUGUCUCUUCAAGAUACACCUUCAAUAUAAUUCCAUUUUUUGGGAAUUGUGAAAUGUGUCUCUUGAUACCUUCCAUAAUUUUAAAAAUAUUGGGUUUAUACUAAAAGUGUUUGUUCAAAAGACACUUUCCACAAUUUCCAUUCAAACAGUGGAAAAUUUUGAAUUUAUGCUCAAGAGACACCUUCCAUAAUUACAAAAAAAAUGGAAUUAUAUUCGGACACCUUUCAUAAUUUUUAAAAAAUUGGUUUAUACUGAAAGUGUCUCCUUGAAUUUAAAUUUCAAUUUCAAUUUCAAUUUUGUUGCAACCCCCGUUUGAUUCCCAAGUUUGUGCAAUCCCCGUUUGAUUCCCAAGAAAAUCCAUCCCCCAUUUGCUUUCCGGGAAAAUCCAUGGAAAACCCCCUAAAAAAACAAAUUUUCAAUUUCAAUUUUUGUAGGUACUAAUCUAAUCAGGUUAUUAUUUUUUUAUUUUGUUGCAACCCUCGUUUGAUUCCCAAGUCUGUGCAAUCCCCGUUUGAUUCCCAAGAAAAUCCAUCCCCCAUUUGCUUUCCGGGAAAGUCCAUGCAAAACCCCCUAAAAAAACAAACAAAAAAAUGUUUUUUUUUUUGCUCCGUGCUUUCUGGAUCUGUCCAGGGGUCUCUUUGCUUUUGUGCCAUUGGAUUUAAAUUUCACAAACCCUAAAUCCACGAUUUUUGAGCCACGUUGAAAAACACAACCUUUCCCCUCAAAUCAUGAUCACCUUUCUCCUCAAAUCAUGAUCAUAUUACCAAAUAGCUUAUGUUUUUUAAUAAAAAAAAAUUGGACAGAUACCCUGUGCGCGGGCUGAAUUGGUAGGAAAUAUUGGGAAAUUUUUUUUUUUUCAACUUUCCCACACUUUCUUGGCAACCAAACAGAAUCACAACAAGCCAAACCACAAAAAAAAUUAAAACUUUCUCCAUUAUUUUUAGUCUACUCAGUUUCAUUGUAAAAAAAAACAAAAACUUUAUUUUUUUUACAACUUUCCCACACUUUCUCGGUGACCAAACACAACCACACCACCAAAUAUAACCACAAAACUUACAGAAAACACCGGGGACAAUGGUUUCUCAGAUCUGCACUUCACUUCCUUCCUAUUGGUGUUGAAGCAAGGAUCUCCACCUCAUGAUCAGCGUGCGGGAUAGUGGGUUUUCGGGCAGAGGAGUUUUGAUGCAGAGAAGAAAAACGAGAAGGGAAGAGAAGAAAAACAGGAAGGGAAAUGGAAAGGGGGGAAUGAGUUUUCAUAUCUAUCCUACGAUGUUAUCCUACGUGUUCAAAAGUGCCGUAGAAUUGGAAUUAUUUUCCAAACUAUGGUAUUUUAAAUAUUAUUUUUUUUAAUUGCAGUAUAUUUAUCAAGAAUCCAAGAGAUGGCUUGCUUGACUAGCAUACUCCGCCUUGUCCUCCCUCUCCUGGCCGCCGCUCUCUUCUACCACCCAGCAAACACAGGCGUUCACGUGAAUGCAGACAAUCAAUUACUAAACCAGAUCUGCAACCAAGCCCAGAGCUACGACUUCUGCUUCAACGUUCUCGCCUUGGAUGGGCUUUGUCUCAUAUCUGUUGCAAUAACCAUAGACCGAGUGCAAAAUACUUCGGAUAUAAUUCCGAGUCUAAUCAAGCAAGCAGCGGGUCCAGUGGACAUUCAAAGACUCACCACUUGCCAAUCCAACUACACGGCGGCAGUGGACGCGUACACGAAGGCCUGGAGUUCAGCGUCGUCAAGGGCUUACUACGACGUACUGAGCUGGAUUCAGGUCGGAGCUAAUGAAGUUAUACACUGUGAAAAUAUUUACCGGAUGAGCCAGCCGAUAAGGCAGUCUCCCAUCACUGUUGAGAAUCAUGAUGUGGUCAAGCUUUCGGAAAUUACUUUGAUUAUUCUUAGUAUGAUCGAGAGCGGGUCUACUGGUUUAGAGAAAGAGAAUUUCUAACAAAUCCUCUCUAGGUUUUCUUUGGCUACGUACCUUCUUUCCUACCUCAGCUGAACUUGAACUUUUCCCUGAGGUGUGCCAUGGAUUUUAUUUUAUUUUUAUUAUAAUUUUGGAAUGGGCUUUAAUUUUUAGUUAAAGUCGAAACCAAAAAAUUAUUCUAAACAAGCCAUUUAUGGAAAAAAGCUUCAAAUAAUUUAGAAAGAACUUUAAUUCUCCAUGAUCACCAAACACAGAGAGAGAAAAUGAAAGCACUGACCUGACCUGAGGAGAGAGAUGAGAGAUUGUAGUCGGCUAGAAGAAGAGAAGCGAAGGACCGGAUUUCUAUUUAGUUCGGCGGGAGGGCUGGGGAUUUUGGGUAUUUCAUCUUUUCCGUUUGGUGUAACUUCCUACAGAAUAUACGUUUUUGUUAAAUAAAAAAUUCUAAAUAAGGUUCCCACUUCCCACUUCCUAUAGAAAAAUAAAAAAUUCGAUUACUUGUACUGUUGGUUUAUAUGAUUAUGUCAUUCAUGUCUAUCCAGUUUCAUUCUUUAUGUUUUGUUGGAUAUCUAUCCUUUAAUAUAUCUAAAUAAUGGAGAUUGAAAAUCGGAUAUUUUGUUGGGAUAUUUUUUUAUUUUUAAAAAUAAAAUAUAAUGAUAAAUUUUAUAUGAAAAAAAUAAUUUUUUUUAUAAAAGUAUAAAUUUAUCUUGUAUCUUUAAAAUAAAAUUAAAAUUAUUUUCUUUUCAUUGUCAAUAAAUAAGUAUUUUUAUAUUUGUAAACUUCCUAUUUUAUGUCCGAUGAUUGCAAUUCAAUAAUAUCUUCUUUUAUUUAAGAGUGUCAAGAUAGAAGAUUUUUUUAUUUAUUAUUAUUCUAAUGUCAUUUUUAUUUUUUUAUUAGGAAGCUUUCUAAUGACAACCCCACAAAGAAAUUAGAAUAAAGAUUUGAUGAUGAUUAUGCUUUUAAGAUAUUAUUUUUAAAUUAUAAUUAAUAUUCUAAUAUAUUUUUUAAUUCAUAAAUAGGACAGUUAAGAUUUAUUUAUUUUAUUAAACGGUUGUAAGGAUCUCUUUUUCAUUUUGAGUAGAUAUUACCUAUUUUGAGCCCAAUAAACCCUCAUGACUUUAAAGUAUGUCUACACAAUUCAAAAUAUAGGUUUGAAAAACUUCUUUAAUCAAUUUUUUUUUAUUAUAUGAUAUUAUAAUCAUUUUCAAAAAAUACAAUGUAACAAUCAUGGAAUACACUAAGAAUGUUGUAUUGAUAUGGAAGGAAGGGGAUUAUUAAUUUGGUAAGGCUAUCUAUUCUAUUGAUGAUACAAGUUGGGGAAUUAUUUGCUUUAUACUAACCAACAUUUUACUUAAUUCCUUUUAUAAUUAAAGGAUCAAAUCAAGGCGGUGUCAAAAGGGAUGAUGAAUAUUACACAUUGUUCGGAGGUCUUGCCUUAAUGAUACUUUGUAGUGUGAUUUAAAAAUAAUUUUUUAUUUUUUAAAAUAAAAAAUUAUUUUUAAAAGUAUAUAAUUAGAAUUUUUUUUUAUAAAUAUUUAAAAUCUAAAAAAAAUAUAUGUUCCACAUAUUUUCAUAAACUUAUUUUUAAAUUAAAAAAUAAAAAUAAUUUUUAAAAAUAAAUUUCAAAUACGCGGGAAAAUUCUAAACAAUAAUUUUUUUUUUAUUAUAAUUUUUUAUUUUAAUAAAUAAAUGUUGUUGGCAACGUUAAAAAAAGACCAAGACCGAUCUUUCUUAACCAUAAGAUUAAAGAUUGAGUGAAGUCAUCACGUCAACAUCACAAUUUUUUUAAAUGAUUUUCUUCCUUCUUAGUCCAACCGCCUUUCCUUCGUAGGCCAUUGAGACAAGAAAAGAUAGAAAAAGAAAAAAAAAAAAUCUAAACCAAGAAAAAAAACAACCAAUGAAUUGAAAAAAUAUCUUGUUACAUGUUAAAUAUAAAAAUUAUUCUUUUUUUACCAUAUUGAAUUUAAAAUUAUGAAAUAUAAAUUCAUUAAAAAAUAUGUAUGUUAAAUGCUUAUCUAGUAAAAAAUAUUUGUCAUGAAUAAAAAUUUGUAACAAGAUUUUGUAGAAAUUAUUCAUUUAAAAUUGAUAUUGUGAUUAAAUUGAUUUUUUAUUAUGAAUAUAAGAUUUAUACUAAAAUCUUAUGAAUUUUUUUUUGCCAUAAAUAUAUUAUGUGGUUAAACAUGAUUUUUUUACCAUAAAUAAAAAUUUUAUCACUAAAAGAACUUUUUUUUUAUAUAAAAAAAAAAAAAUCAUCACAAAAGUCUAUUUUUUGUCAUAAAAUACUAUUCAUGCCAAAAAAUACUGUAGCAAAUGAGAAAUUUCUUGUAAGGGAAAAAAUAUUUUUUGCAACCGGAUGAAUCAAUAUGUGGAGAAAUCACUUUUGGAAACAAAUAUAAAAUUUCAAACACAAGCAAACGUAACAUUAAAAUUAAUCUCUAAAGAUGGUAUGAUGUCACCAUAGUAAAUGCAUUAUGUAAUAAUUUUUUUACGAAUUUAUUGAGUAGAAGACAUGUUUUUAGAUGAAGAUAAAGUAAAAUAUAUAUGUUAAAUUCCUUAAAAAAUAUAAAGUAAAAUAUAUACAUGUUUUUAUGUAAUAAUUUUUUUACGAAUUUAUUGAGUAGAAGACAUGCUUAUCUAGUAAAAAUAUAUAUGUUAAAUUCAUUAAAAAAUAUAAAGUAAAAUUUAGUUAUCACUUGAUACUUUAAAGGGACAAUUGUGUUUUGGACCUAGUUGGACAAAAAAAUUAAGCUUUAGUGUUCAUUAUUUAACCCCAAAACCUAAAGGAAGUGUGAAAAUUGAGAAGAAGGAUAUUGAUUUUUUAUCUUCCCAAAAAUGACUUUUACUGAUUAUGAAAAAAAAAAGAGUAGAAAAAGAUUAAUUUAAAUUUUAUUCCUUUUGCAAACCUUAAUAAAAUUUAAUAUAAUUUAGUGAUUUGGAAAAAAAUACACUAUUUUCCAAAAUAAAAAAAAAAUUAUUAUUAUUUAAAAAUCAAACAUCUUGGAAA
rnacentral:lncRNA from 1 species